rnacentral:rRNA from 1 species
GAUCAUGGCUCAGGAUGAACGCUAGCUACAGGCUUAACACAUGCAAGUCGAGGGGCAGCAUGGUCUUAGCUUGCUAAGGCCGAUGGCGACCGGCGCACGGGUGAGUAACACGUAUCCAACCUGCCGAUAACUCGGGGAUAGCCUUUCGAAAGAAAGAUUAAUACCCGAUGGUAUAAUCAGACCGCAUGGUUUGAUUAUUAAAGAAUUUCGGUUAUCGAUGGGGAUGCGUUCCAUUAGG